rnacentral:lncRNA from 1 species
UGUAAAAUCAGAGAAGCAAACAAAACAUUUUGUGUCCUAAAAUCCCUCUUUAAUUGUAAAUAUCCUUGGACCCUCUACUUCACUCUGCUCCAAGUUCAGUAAUGUACUGUGCAAGGUGUGGCUCUUGAUUCCCCUGAGGAGAAAGGGCCGGAGCGAGGAGGAGAAUAGGUGGCAGCCUUGAAGGAGCAAGAAGAAAUUCCUGCUGAGUCCUGCAUGACAGGAAGAUAGACUAUUGGAGGACAGGACUGAAAGAAAGUCUUGCAGAUCUGAAAAGGGUCAGCUCCUGGAUAAGAAACCGCAGCUGGGAAGCCCAAUGCUGUAUGUCUACAGAGCACUCUAACCCUAAGGGAGGUGAUCACGUCAAUCAAGAUUCACUUGCCAAUCAAGGCCUCUGUUUAGGCCCGCCAAUAGAAGUAGAGGCGUGUUCUUCCGUGUGGCAUGUUUCUCUGCGCUCUGUGCUCUCCUUUGGGAGCCGGCUGAAUGAUUGGUCUGAUUUGUUUUGAUCUCUGCUGCCAGGAGCCUUAGGGAAUUGCCAGCGAUCUACAACUUGGCAACAUGG